rnacentral:rRNA from 1 species
UACAGAGGUCUCAAGCGUUGUCCGGAAUCAUUGGGCGUAAAGGGCGCGUAGGUGGCGGCUUAAGCGUGCGGUGAAAGCUCGGGGCUCAACCCCGAGUCGGCCGUGCGAACUGAGUCGCUUGAGCACUGUAGAGGCAGGCGGAAUUCCGGGUGUAGCGGUGGAAUGCGUAGAGAUCCGGAAGAACACCGGUGGCGAAGGCGGCCUGCUGGGCAGUAGCUGACACUGAGGCGCGACAGCGUGGGGAGCAAACAGG